CUGGAUCGAGGGAGGAGCCCCUCGAUCCCGAGCUCCUCCGCGUCGCACCUUCAACCGCCGGCCGCCGCGGCAUCGCCGGACCUCACCGCCUCGACGCCGGCAUCCUGCAGGCAACGCCGCCGGAGUAUCGCACCUUGCCAUCCCAUCGCCGGCCAGCCUCGUUGUUGCUGGAAAUGGGCCGGCCGCCCCCGGAACCGGUUGCUCCUUCGCCCCGCCACCGUCUCUGACCUUCCCCGCCGUCCUGCGACAUCACCGGACCACCACGGGAACGCCGCACGCCGGCGUUGACCGCUGCCAUGCUCGUGGUUCAGAUCCACUGCAGGCCAGCACGUAAAGGCCGCCCCAUCGCCCUGGUGGGCCUCGCAUUGACCUCACUCAGCGCCAAGGCCCAGUCGCCUGUUCCCUACUGCAGCCUUAGACCACCAGAUCCGCUGGCCCAAGGCCCGCGAGCUUCGGUUUCGUUCCGGGGUUGUGAGGAUCCGUCCGACUACGUCUGUUUGCCUUCUUCAUGGACUCGUUCUUCUUCCUCGCGGGAUCUCAGGCAAGAU